GCCUGGAUGGCUCAGUUGGUUGAGUGUCCGACUUCAGCUCAGGUCAUGAUCUUGCGAUUCGUGGGUUUGAGUCCCACGUUGGGCU
rnacentral:tRNA from 1 species